rnacentral:rRNA from 1 species
GAUGAACGCUGGCGGCGUGCCUAAUACAUGCAAGUCGAGCGAACAGACGAGGAGCUUGCUCCUCUGACGUUAGCGGCGGACGGGUGAGUAACACGUGGAUAACCUACCUAUAAGACUGGGAUAACUUCGGGAAACCGGAGCUAAUACCGGAUAAUAUGUUGAACCGCAUGGUUCAAUAGUGAAAGACGGUUUUGCUGUCACUUAUAGAUGGAUCCGCGUCGCAUUAGCUAGUUGGUAAGGUAACGGCUUACCAAGGCAACGAUGCGUAGCCGACCUGAGAGGGGGAUCGGCCACACUGGAACUGAGACACGGUCCAGACUCCUACGGGAGGCAGCAGUAGGGAAUCUUCCGCAAUGGGCGAAAGCCUGACGGAGCAACGCCGCGUGAGUGAAGAAGGUCUUCGGAUCGUAAAACUCUGUUAUUAGGGAAGAACAAAUGUGUAAGUAACUAUGCACGUCUUGACGGUACCUAAUCAGAAAGCCACGGCUAACUACGUG